rnacentral:rRNA from 1 species
CUAGAUGAUUUUAGUGCUUGCACUAAAUGAAACUAGAUACAAGCGAGCGGCGGACGGGUGAGUAACACGUGGGUAACCUGCCCAAGAGACUGGGAUAACACCUGGAAACAGAUGCUAAUACCGGAUAACAACACUAGACGCAUGUCUAGAGUUUGAAAGAUGGUUCUGCUAUCACUCUUGGAUGGACCUGCGGUGCAUUAGCUAGUUGGUAAGGUAACGGCUUACCAAGGCAAUGAUGCAUAGCCGAGUUGAGAGACUGAUCGGCCACAUUGGGACUGAGACACGGCCCAAACUCCUACGGGAGGCAGCAGUAGGGAAUCUUCCACAAUGGACGAAAGUCUGAUGGAGCAACGCCGCGUGAGUGAAGAAGGGUUUCGGCUCGUAAAGCUCUGUUGGUAGUGAAGAAAGAUAGAGGUAGUAACUGGCCUUUAUUUGACGGUAAUUACUUAGAAAGUCACGGCUAACUACGUGCCAGCAGCCGCGGUAAUACGUAGGUGGCAAGCGUUGUCCGGAUUUAUUGGGCGUAAAGCGAGUGCAGGCGGUUCAAUAAGUCUGAUGUGAAAGCCUUCGGCUCAACCGGAGAAUUGCAUCAGAAACUGUUGAACUUGAGUGCAGAAGAGGAGAGUGGAACUCCAUGUGUUAGCGG